rnacentral:lncRNA from 1 species
AUGAAGGUUUCGAUAAAACCUCUCAAAUUUGCUGAUGCAGAUGGAACAAUGGAGCAAGUGCUCCAAAUACAUAUUCUGGGGAAAAAAUGGAGAAAAUGCUCAAUUCAAGGAUAUUCUCGAUUAAUGCAUAGCUUCAGAGAGGGUGUUCUCUCACCUGCAGCUCUUUCUGCUGCUGCUUCUCCGCCUGGCUCAGCAGGAAGCCUUCGGCCAGGGCCACCGCCUGGGCGCUGGUCUCCGCUCCACACUCCCGCACCCAGCUGGCCAUCUCUGCAGGAAGCACGGCCAGCAGCUGCUCCAGGAUCACCAGGUCCAGCAUCUGUGCCUUGGUCUUCUUCUCUGGCUGCAGCCAAUCCUGGCAGAGCUGAUAAAGGCGGUUGCACAUCUCCCGCGGGCUCUUGCCCCAUAUAUCCAAGGGCAGGAGGCCGACUUUCUCCCUGGUGGUUUCCCGCAAGGCGUCCCGCAGCUGCUCCACCUUCUCCCAGAGGGCUUCCUUCAGGGAGGAGUUCUGCAGGGCGCUCCUCAGGGAGUCCACCUGGGCCAGCAGCACCUCCGCCUGCGUCAGCGUGUCUGACCAGAAGGCCAGCGCCUGCGUCUCCAGGGCCGCUGCUUUCUCCCACAGGACAUGCGCCUCCUUCACAGGCGCAUCCUGGGCAACUCUUUGCAGGGCUGCCUCCCCCUGCCCCAGGGGCACCUGCCGGAGGGUCCAGCGAAAGGCUUCGGCUUCUCUCCGGGCCGUCUCAGCCUCCUCCAGAGGGCCUGCCCACAAGCCCUUCUCCAGGCAGGCCACCUCCCAGCAGUCCGUCUUCCGCAGCAGUGCCUCGGCCUUUUCUAACAUCGGCUGCAGCCCUUCAAGCGACGCCUCCCGCAGGCCGGUGCGCAGCCCCUCCAGCUCCCUCCGCAGCGCCUCGGCGCUCUCGGCCCAGCCUUCUUCCUCCAGGGCCUCCCGCAGGGCCAGCAGCUGCCGGGCCCGGAUGCGCCCUUCCUUCCGCACCGCCCAGCCCAACUCCCGCAGGUUCUCCCACAACCGGUCGUCCAGGAACGCCGCCAGGGCCCCUUCCAGCUUCCGCGCGGCGCGCACUGGCCGCCCCCGGCCCUCCGCCGCCUCCAGCUCCGCCGUCACGCCCAGGAGCGCCUCCCGCAGAGCCGCCACCUUUUCCACCGAAGUGGUGGGCGCGGCUGCUGGCUCGGCCGGCACCCAGGGCUCUUUGUCCUCGCUCGGCGCCUCCUCCUCCUCCUUGGCCAGGGCCGGCGGCGCCGCGGAUCCCUCGCCUCCCGCGGCAGACGCUGCCACUCCACUCGUACCGCCGCCGGGCUUUCUCCGCCGGGCCCGCCGGGCCGCCUCGCGCUCGCCGCGCGCCUGGAACCAGCGGAGCAGCGCCAUCUCCAGCCUCAGGAAGCCCUGGAGCCGCUGCUGUUCCGUCUCCGAGAGCGCCGCGUCCCGGGCCAGCAGGGCGUCCCUGCCUCGGCGGGCUUCGCUCAGCUGCGCCCGGAACCGCUGAAGAUUCGGCUGGCCCAGGUUGA